GGUUAGGGGGUUAUAGGGUGCUAUGGGGUUAUGGGUCCUAUUGGGGGAUAAUGGGGGUAUAUGGGGGAUGGGCUAUGGGGGAAUAUUGGGGGGAUAUGGGGGAUUUGGGGGAUAUGGGGGCAUAUGGGGGAUAUGGGAUAUGGGGGGAUACUGGGGGAUAUCGGGGGAUAUGGGGGGAUAUGGGGGCAUAUGGGGGAUAUGGGGGGAUAUAGGGAUUGGGGGAUUUGGGGGAUAUGGGGGAUAUGGGGGGAUAUGGGGGAUAUGGGGAUAUGGGGGGAUAUGGGGGAUAUGGGGGAUAUGGGGAUAUGGGGAUAUGAGGGGAAUAUGGGGAUAUGGGGGAUAAUGGGGGAUAUGGGGGAUAUGGGGAUAUGGGGGGAUAUGGGGGGAUAUGGGGGAUUAUGGGGAUAAUGGGGAUUAUGGGGGAUAUGGGGGAUUAUGGGGAUAUGGGGGUAUGGGGGAUAUGGGGGAUAUGGGGUCAUUGGGGUAUUGGGGUCUAUGGGGUCCUAUGGGGUCUAAUGGGGUCAAAAUUGGGGGCUAUGGGGGGUUAUAGGGGCCAUUGGGUCAAUGGGGGUUAUGGGACUAUGGUGGGCUAUGGGGGGCUAUGGGGGAUAUGGGGGCUAUGGGGUCAAUGGGGGGAUUAUGGGGGUUAUGGGGUCAAUGGGGGGAUAUGGGGGCUAUGGGGUCGUAUGGGGGGAUAUGCGGGGAGCUAAUGGGGGAUAUGGCGGCUAAUGGGGUCCUAUGGGGGACUUGGGGGGCUAUGGUGGGAUACUGGGGUUAUGUGGGGUUAUGGGGCUAUGGGGGUUAUUGGGGUAAUGGGGGGAUAGGGGGAUCAUGGGGUAUGGGGGUAUUGGGGCUAUGGGGGCGUGCCACCACACGGCUGUUGGGGGGUACUGCAGGAAGGGUAUGGGGUUAUUUA
rnacentral:lncRNA from 1 species